CUGGGGCAGAGGCGCUGAGAUGGAGCCGAAGCUUCGGCGCCGGGGGAUCGACUCUGGGAUCUGCUCACUGGGAGAAACAAAGCAUCAGGGGCUGAUCCCAGGAGAAGAUGACAAUCUCUUUCUCUGAGGCAUUGUUGAGAAAUAUGAGACGACUACACCUGGCGUGUGCUGGGAUGUUGCCCAGGGAAAUUCGAGAUUGAGAUAGGAAUACAACCUGUUGGAUGAAGAUUAUGGCAGUGAGAAGGAAUAAUGUGAGACUGAGUCAACCCAGAGCUAAGAAUAUCCGAAGAGGAUAACCUUCAUGCUUCUUAAAGGUGAGGAAACUGAGGCAGAGAGUGAUUAAGUGUUUUGUUCUAAACAUCUUAAGGCUGGAUGCUGGGAGGAAUCAUCUUCUCAGAAGACUGCACAGAAUUUAAAGUUGGAAAGGCCACAGGGAAGACUAUUGGGGAGACAACUCCAGAUCAAUUUGCUGGUCACUGGGGAAGAGGAAAGCCCUGUAUGGAAGGAAGAGGAAGAAAGAGUCAAUUGUGUAAUACAGACAAUCUGGAUCUACAGGAGACCUUGGCUAGAAUUCUGGAUGUUAAGAGAAAGUCAGGAAGCUCUGCAUAUGGCUAACACUGAAAAGUAUCACACACAAAAUGAAGCAGAUUAUGGCUUUACGGGCAGAAACAACUGGUCAUCAGGGCAGAAGUCAUUUCCAAAUCAGCUGUCUGUGGAUAGUCCAGCCAUUCACUUGUUAAAUACCAAUUUAAAAUAAAAAUAAUGA